rnacentral:rRNA from 1 species
UGGGGAAUUUUGCACAAUGGGGGAAACCCUGAUGCAGCGACGCCGCGUGAUUUAGAAGGCCUUCGGGUUGUAAAAAUCUUUUGUAUAGGAAGAAAAUGACAGUACUAUACGAAUAAGGACCGGCUAAUUACGUGCCAGCAGCCGCGGUAAUACGUAAGGUCCGAGCGUUGUCCGGAAUCAUUGGGCGUAAAGGGUACGUAGGCGGGUAAGCAAGUUAGAAGUGAAAUCCUAUAGCUCAACUAUAGUAAGCUUUUAAAACUGCUCAUCUUGAGGUAUGGAAGGGAAAGUGGAAUUCCUAGUGUAGCGGUGAAAUGCGCAGAUAUUAGGAGGAAUACCGGUGGCGAAGGCGACUUUCUGGCCAUAACCUGACGCUGAUGUGCGAAAGCGUGGGGAUCAAACAGG